rnacentral:lncRNA from 1 species
CCAGUGUGUCCCCAGCGUGUCCCAAAUGUAUCCCCAACAUGUCCCCAAUGUGUCCCCAAAGUGUCCCCAGCAUGUCCCAAAUGUGUCCCCAAAGUGUCCCCAGUGUGUCCCCAACAUGUCCACAACGUGACCCCAGUGUGUCCCGAAAGUGUCCCCAGUGUAUCCCCAGCAUGUCCCCAACAUGUCCCCAACGUGUCCCCAAAGUGUACCCAAUGUAUCCUUAGCAUGCCCCCAACAUGUCCCCAAUAUGUCCACAACGUAACUCCAGCGUGUCCCCAACGUGUCCCCAGUGUGUCCCGAAAGUGUCCCCAGUGUGUCCCCAAAGUGUCCCCAACAUGUCCACAAUGUGACCCCAGCAUGUCCCCAACGUGUCCCCACAUGUCCACAACGUGACCCCAGCAUGUCCCCAACGUGUCCCCAGUGUGUCCCCAACGUGUCCGCAACGUGACCCCAGUGUGUCCCGAAAGUGUCCCCAGUGUAUCCCCAGCAUGUCCCCAACGUGUCCCCAAAGUGUCCCCAAUGUGUCCCCAACUUGUCCCCAAUGUGUCCCCAGUGUGUCCCCAACUUGCCCCCAAUGUGUCCCCAGUGUGUCCCGAAAGUGUCCCCAAUGUAUCCCCAGCAUGUCCCCAACGUGUCCCCAAAGUGUCCUCAGUGUGUCCCCAACAUGUCCCCAGUGUGUCCCCAGCAUGUCCCAAAUGUGUCCCCAAAGUGUCCCCAGUGUGUCCCCAGCAUGUCCCCAACAUGUCCCCAGUGUGUCCCAAAAGUGUCCCCAGUGUAUCCCCAGCAUGUCCCCAACAUGUCCCCAACAUGUCCACAACGUGACCCCAGUGUGUCCCGAAAGUGUACCCAGUGUAUCCCCAGCAUGUCCCCAACGUGUCCCCAACAUGUCCCCAACGUGUCCCCAGUGUGUCGCCAAUGUAUCCCCAGCAUGUCCCCAAUGUGUCCCCAGUGUGNNNNNNNNNNNNNNNNNNNNNNNNNNNNNNNNNNNNNNNNNNNNNNNNNNNNNNNNNUCCCCAAAGUGUCCCCAACAUGUCCCCAACGUGUCCCCAAUGUGUCCCCAACAUGUCCACAACGUGACACCAGUGUGUCCCGAAAGUGUACCCAGUGUAUCCCCAGCAUGUCCCCAACUUGUCCCCAAGGUGUCCCCAGUAUGUCCCCAGUGUGUCCCCAAAAUGUCCUCAGUGUGUCGCCAAUGUAUCUCCAGCAUGUCCCCAAAGUGCCCACACAGUGUCCCUAAAGUGUCCCCAAAGUGUCCCCAGCGUGUCCCCAGCGUGUCCCCAGCGUGUCCCCGCGGUGUCCCCAAAGUGUCCCCAGCGUGUCCCCAACUUGUCCCCAUUGUGUCCCCAGAGUGUCCCCGAGGUGUCCCCGAAGUGUCCCCAAUGUAUCCCCAAAGUAUCCCCGAGAUAUCCCCAAAGUGUCCCCAAUGUAUCCCCAAAGUGUCCCCGAGGUGUCCGCAAAGUGUCCCCGCGGUGUCCCCGUGGUGUCCCCACGAUGUCCCCGCGGUGUCCCCGCAUUCCGUCACGCAGCCGCGUUGUCCCCGCAGCGGCGGUGCCGGCGUGGUGCGGGGCGGCCGCCGGAAGGUGCGGGUGGAGGCGGUGCUGCAGAACCGAAAGGAGAACGCGUACAACGCCCGCCUGGCGCUGCGCUCCUCCGCCAACCUGCACUUCUCCAGCAUGGCGCUGCCGGUACGGCGGGACCCGGGACCCCCGGGACCCCACGGGUGGGAAGGAGGGGCCGCCCGCGCGGCAGGGAUGCGCGGAGCCGUUGGGAUCCGUUUGAUCCCGGCCCGUCGCGGCAGGGAUGGGGGGGGAAACGCGGUGCUGUGGGAUGCAGGAGGGGAUCCGGGGAUCCCAGAUGGGAGGUGGGAAAGCAGUGGUCACAGCUGGGAGGUGUGGAUCUGGUGAUCCCAGAUGGGAGGUGUGGAUCCAGUGAUCCCAGAUGGGAGGUGGGAAAGCAGUGAUCCCAACUGGGAGAUGGGAACCCAGUGGUCCCAGCUGGGAGGUGUGGAUCUGGUGAUCCCAGAUGGGAGAUGGGGAUUCAGUGAUCCCAGAUGGGAGGUGGGAAAGCAGUGGUCCCAGCUGGGAGGUAGGAACGCAUUGAUCCCAGAUGGGAGAUGAGAAACCAGUGAUGUGAUGUGGUACCAGUUGGGAGAUGGGAACCCAGUGGUCCCAGUUGGGAGGUGUGGAUCUGGUGAUCCCAGUUGGGAGGUGGGAACCCAUUGAUUCCAGUUCGGAGAUGGGAAACCAGUGAUCCCAGUUGGGAGAUGGGAAAGCAGUGAUCCUGGUUGGGAGAUGGGGAUCCAGUGGUCGCAGCUGGGAGGUGGAAACCCAAUGGUCCCAGUUGGGAGGUGGGAAACCAGUGAUCCCAGUUGGGAGGUGGGAAACCAGUGGUCCCAGUUGGGAGGUGUGGAUCUGGUGAUCCCAGCUGGGAGGUGGGAACCCAGUGAUCCCAGUUGGGAGAUGGGAACCCAAUGGUCCCAGUUGGGAGGUGUGGAUCCGAUGAUCCGAGAUGGGAGAUGGGAA